rnacentral:ncRNA from 1 species
UCCACCGUGAGGUGGAAUCUGAAGGAAGCCGUCAGCAAAUCUCCGAUCUGAGGACACGAAUCUCAUACAAGGCUAGUAUUCGUUGGAUGAGUCUGCAUAGCAAGACAAAGUCCUUGCUACCGAAGGCGAAUGAGAGUAGAUGAGACAGAUAGAUGGAGAGAAAGACUGCGUU